CUGACACAGGUGCUGCAGGGCUGUCGUCAGCUCGUGUCGUGAGAUGUUGGGUUAAGUCCGUAACGAGCGCAACCCUUGUCCUUAGUUACCAGCACGUUAUGGUGGGCACUCUAAGGAGACUGCCGGUGACAAACCGGAGGAAGGUGGGGGAUGACGUCAAGUCAUCAUGGCCCUUACGGCCUGGGCUACACACGUGCUACAAUGGUCGGUACAAAGGGUUGCCAAGCCGCGAGGUGGAGCUAAUCCCAUAAAACCGAUCGUAGUCCGGAUCGCAGUCUGCAACUCGACUGCGUGAAGUCGGAAUCGCUAGUAAUCGUGAAUCAGAAUGUCACGGUGAAUACGUUCCCGGGCCUU
rnacentral:rRNA from 1 species